rnacentral:rRNA from 1 species
UACAGAGGUCUCAAGCGUUGUUCGGAUUCAUUGGGCGUAAAGGGUGCGUAGGUGGCGCUGUAAGUCAGGUGUGAAAUUUCGGAGCUUAACUCCGAAACUGCAUUUGAUACUGCGGUGCUUGAGGACUGGAGAGGCGACUGGAAUUCACGGUGUAGCAGUGAAAUGCGUAGAGAUCGUGAGGAACACCGGUGGCGAAGGCGGUUCUCUGGGCCUUACCUGACGCUGAGGAGCGAAGCGUGGGGAGCGAACAGG